rnacentral:rRNA from 1 species
GAGAAACGGCUACCACAUCCAAGGAAGGCAGCAGGCGCGCAAAUUACCCAAUCCCGACACGGGGAGGUAGUGACAAUAAAUACUGAUGCAGAGCUCUUUUGGGUUUUGCAAUUGGAAUGAGUACAAUUUAAAUCUCUUUAAUUCGUUAGGAGAUUUCCAGGCAGUCGGGCGUCAUGCCCGGCGACGUGCUCUCUUUCGAGGAACUUCUCUCGGCGAGAACAACUCGAAUUUCCCCCCGGGGAAAUCAGAGACUACAUGAGCACGGGCGGUCCCCCGGCGGGAUCGUCGAUGGUAUAGUCCAACCCUGCGGCGAGAGCCAAAGGUAUUAGUGUAACGAGGAACAAUUGGAGGGCAAGUCUGGUGCCAGCAGCCGCGGUAAUUCCAGCUCCAAUAGCGUAUAUUAAAGUUGUUGCAGUUAAAAAGCUCGUAGUUGAACCUUGGGUCUGGCUGACCGGUCCGCCUCACCGCGUGCACUGGUUCGGCCGGACCUUUCCUUCUGGGGAACUGCAUGCCCUUAACUGGGUGUGUUUGAGAACCAGGACUUUUACUUUGAAAAAAUUAGAGUGUUCAAAGCAGGCCUAUGCUCGAAUACAUUAGCAUGGAAUAAUAGAAUAGGACGGCGUUCUUAUUUUGUUGGUUUCUAAGACCGCCGUAAUGAUUAAUAGGGAUAGUCGGGGGCAUCAGUAUUCAAUUGUCAGAGGUGAAAUUCUUGGAUUUAUUGAAGACUAACUACUGCGAAAGCAUUUGCCAAGGAUGUUUUCAUUAAUCAGUGAACGAAAGUUAGGGGAUCGAAGACGAUCAGAUACCGUCGUAGUCUUAACCAUAAACUAUGCCGACUAGGGAUCGGACGGUGUUAUUAUUUUGACCCGUUCGGCACC